rnacentral:rRNA from 1 species
AUUGAACGCUGGCGGCAGGCUUAACACAUGCAAGUCGAGCGGGGAAGGGUAGCUUGCUACCUGACCUAGCGGCGGACGGGUGAGUAAUGCUUAGGAAUCUGCCUAUUAGUGGGGGACAACAUUCCGAAAGGAAUGCUAAUACCGCAUACGCCCUACGGGGGAAAGCAGGGGAUCUUCGGACCUUGCGCUACUAGAUGAGCCUAAGUCAGAUUAGCUAGUUGGUGGGGUAAAGGCCUACCAAGGCGACGAUCUGUAGCGGGUCUGAGAGGAUGAUCCGCCACACUGGGACUGAGACACGGCCCAGACUCCUACGGGAGGCAGCAGUGGGGAAUAUUGGACAAUGGGCGCAAGCCUGAUCCAGCCAUGCCGCGUGUGUGAAGAAGGCCUUUUGGUUGUAAAGCACUUUAAGCGAGGAGGAGGCUACUUGGAUUAAUACUCUAGGAUAGUGGACGUUACUCGCAGAAUAAGCACCGGCUAACUCUGUGCCAGCAGCCGCAGUAA